CUCAUGGGCUGCCUCUGAGGUCACUCUAUGGUGAGCAUUGCUUUCUAAAGACAGAGCAGAGGUCAGAGGUCAGUUCUCUGGAAAGGUGAAGAAAUGUCAGAAGGUCAUCGUUCUCCUCACCAGAGAGAUUCGUGGAUUACAUGCUCAGCACUGUGCAGAAGGUGACAGGUGGUCAGGUGUGACUUCUGUCACCGGGAGCCAGCCGUCCACAAAGGAAAUGGCCUAAUCGUAUGCGCUAUGAUGGAGGGAGAGCACAGGACUCUGCUGUGCCUGCAUGCGCUCUCUCAAAAAAGAUAUAUAAAGUGGGUGACUUCUGAAGUUGUCCCAUCCCUGAUGCUAGGAAACCCUCUAUGUCCUUUAAAAUGCUGUGCUGCAAAGCCCAACAACAGGGAAACCAACAACAUCAUUAAAAC
rnacentral:lncRNA from 1 species